rnacentral:rRNA from 1 species
UGGGGAAUAUUGCACAAUGGGGGAAACCCUGAUGCAGCGACGCCGCGUGAACGAAGAAGGUAUUCGUAUCGUAAAGUUCUGUCCUAUGGGAAGAUAAUGACAGUACCAUAGAAGAAAGCUCCGGCUAAAUACGUGCCAGCAGCCGCGGUAAUACGUAUGGAGCGAGCGUUGUCCGGAAUUAUUGGGCGUAAAGGGUACGCAGGCGGUUUAAUAAGUCGAAUGUUAAAGAUCGGGGCUCAACCCCGCAAAGCAUUGGAAACUGAUAAACUUGAGGAGUGGAGAGGAAAGUGGAAUUCCUAGUGUAGUGGUGAAAUACGUAGAUAUUAGGAGGAAUACCAGUAGCGAAGGCGACUUUCUGGACACAAACUAACGCUGAGGUACGAAAGCGUGGGGAGCAAACAGG